GGGGAAUAUUGGACAAUGGGCGAAAGCCUGAUCCAGCCAUGCCGCGUGUGUGAAGAAGGUCUUCGGAUUGUAAAGCACUUUAAGUUGGGAGGAAGGGCAGUAACCUAAUACGUUAUUGUUUUGACGUUACCGACAGAAUAAGCACCGGCUAACUCUGUGCCAGCAGCCGCGGUAAUACAGAGGGUGCAAGCGUUAAUCGGAAUUACUGGGCGUAAAGCGCGCGUAGGUGGUUUGUUAAGUUGAAUGUGAAAUCCCCGGGCUCAACCUGGGAACUGCAUCCAAAACUGGCAAGCUAGAGUAGGGCAGAGGGUGGUGGAAUUUCCUGUGUAGCGGUGAAAUGCGUAGAUAUAGGAAGGAACACCAGUGGCGAAGGCGACCACCUGGGCUCAUACUGACACUGAGGUGCGAAAGCGUGGGGAGCAAAC
rnacentral:rRNA from 1 species